rnacentral:lncRNA from 1 species
CCUCUGUCCCACCUACCGUCACCUCUGCCACCUCUUCCCGACCUCCCGUUACCUCUGCCCCACCUACCGUUACCUCUGCUCCGCCUCCCCUUACCUCUGCCCCGCCUCCCGUUACCUCUGUCCCGCCUCCUGGCCAAAGUGCAGCGUUGGAUUUGUCUCGGCUAAAACUAAAUUUUGGCCAAGUCGGCGCCAACCCCUCGGGCUCUGUGCCCCGCCGUGUCCCAGCCCCCUCUCAGAAACAAGAUGUCCGCCAGUUUCGAAACCCGCCGGCAGCGCAGAAGGUUCAUGUGGUCAACGUUUAUCCCAAAGCAGAGACGCUGGAUCUCCAGGACAAGGCGGGAUGCCCACCGUCUCACGGAGAUGGAGAGGCUUCCUCUAAUUCAGAAGCUCAUUGGGAUCAUAACUACGGCUCGCCCCAUCGCAGGGCUCCACCUGUGUCCUCACACAGUUACAGAGCUCUGUUUGUGCCCUCACCCAGUCACAGAGCUCUGUGUGUGCCCUCACCCAAUAAGAGCACUCCAUCUGUGCCCUCACCCAAUCAGAGCACUCCAUCUGUGCCCUCACCCAAUCAGAGCACUCCAUCUGUGCCCUCACCCAAUCAGAGCACUCCGUCUGUGCCCAAUCGGAGAAGAAAGAAGCGUGGCAGGGCUGAGGGCGCAGAGGAGACAUGUCCAGAGGAGGUGUGUCCAGAGGAGCCGAGUCCAGAAGGGAAGAGGAGGAGGAAGCCGACCAUGAAGGCACAGGCUCUUCAGCAGGACCAGGUCAGUUCAACAAUCUUCCAAAACAUCUACUAUAUCUCUCUAAAACAUGACGUGGUAGCAUUAGGAGUAGUAGUAAAACAUCUGCAAUAUCCCUUAAAACCAUCUGCAAUAUACAAUAUAUCCCCAAAACAUCUACAAUAUCUCCCCAAAACAUGUACAAUAUCUCUCCAAAAUAUCUAUAAUAUCUCCCCAAAACAUCUACUAUGUCUCCCUAAAGCAUCUACAAUAUCUCCC